UCCGGCAUGGUCUAGUGGUUAGGAUACCUGGCUCUCACCCAGGAGGCCCGGGUUCGAUUCCCGUUGUCGGAA
rnacentral:tRNA from 2 species